GUGAAUUAGGUAGUUUCAUGUUGUUGGGCCUAGGUUUCUGAACACAACAACAUCAAACCACCCGAUUCAC
ensembl:miRNA